rnacentral:rRNA from 1 species
UACGUAGGUGACAAGCGUUGUCCGGAUUUAUUGGGCGUAAAGAGCGUGUAGGCGGCUAGGUAGGUCCGUUGUGAAAACUCGAGGCUCAACCUCGAGCUGUCGAUGGAAACCAUCUGGCUAGAGUCCGGAAGAGGAGAGUGGAAUUCCUGGUGUAGCGGUGAAAUGCGCAGAUAUCAGGAAGAACACCCGUGGCGAAGGCGGCUCUCUGGUACGUGACUGACGCUGAGACGCGAAAGCGUGGGGAGCGAACAGG